GUGAGGAAUAUUGGGCAAUGGGCGAAAGCCUGACGGAGCAAUGCCGCGUGAAGGAUGAAGGCCUAUGGGUUGUAAACUUCUUUUCUCAGAAAAGAAUUAUGACGGUAUCUGAGGAAUAAGCAUCGGCUAACUCUGUGCCAGCAGCCGCGGUAAGACAGAGGAUGCAAGCGUUAUCCGGAAUGAUUGGGCGUAAAGCGUCUGUAGGUUGUUUAAAAAGUAUUCUGUCAAAGAUUAGGGCUUAACCCUAGAUAGGCAGAAUAAACUUUUAAGCUAGAGUUUGGUAGAGGCAGAGGGAAUUCCCGGUGGAGCGGUGAAAUGCGUAGAUAUCGGGAGGAACACCAAAGGCGAAGGCACUCUGCUGGGCCAAUACUAACACUGAGAGACGAAAGCGAGGGGAGCAAAUGGGAUUAGAAACCCGAGUAGUCC
rnacentral:rRNA from 1 species